rnacentral:rRNA from 1 species
CACGUAGGGGGCGAGCGUUGUCCGGAUUUAUUGGGCGUAAAGAGCUCGUAGGCGGCUCAGUAAGUCAGGUGUGAAAACUCCAGGCUCAACCUGGAGACGCCACCUGAUACUGCUGUGGCUAGAGUCCGGUAGGGGAGCAUGGAAUUCCUGGUGUAGCGGUGAAAUGCGCAGAUAUCAGGAGGAACACCGGUGGCGAAGGCGGCAUCCUGGACCGGUAUUGACGCUGAGGCGCGAAAGCUAGGGGAGCAAACGGG